UAAAAAAAAAAAAAAAAAACAAAUCAGAACAGACUAACACAAAAGAAACUCUUGUCGGAAGGAAAACACAGAAACAUUGUGAACAGUAGUUAUGUCUUGUCUGAAUAAUAUCAGAGUUCCAAAGAAGAAGAAGAAGAAGAAUGCGAAGAAGCAAAAGCACAGGUAAGAGAAAGAACCAGAGGAAGGAGAAGAGAAGCCGUUCUUGAGAUGUGUCUUUGUCGGAAACGAAGGAGAUGAAGAAACCAAGUUCUUCGUCGUAGCUUCCAUUGCAAGAAAAACUCACAAGGUACUGCUUUUUUUUUGUUGUGAAUGGCUAAGGAAGACGGAGGCUACUCAUGACGAGCAGAUAAGGCAAUCAGCUCUCGAUAUCCUCAGCGCUGCCAUGGAAGUGUGGUCUCAGACCCACCUAGGCCAGAUUUUUUUCUUCUCUUCUUAAAAAUCAUAUUGGGCCCCUUACUGGGUUUAGGAUAGGCCCACUAUAAUGAAAAAGCCCAAAUAUUUAAAUGUUAAUUAUUUCCAAUUCCAGAGGGAAGUGGUCAACGUCAUAAAGUAAGAGUGGUGAUCACUUUAACCCUAGAUUCUCUGUCUGAAUCUCUCUGUUGGAUUAUACAAAAGCUUUGUUUGGUUUCCAUUACUGUGACAGUAGAGCCAAACUCGAUGAGUUCUGAGAUGGUGUUUUUCUAUAUGAUGCUUUUACAAAGGUUUUGUGGAUCAAGGUCUAAGUUAGUUUCGAGGUUUAAUACGUUACUAAAAUAAUUGUGAUUGUUUAAAACAAUAAUUAACAAUUGCAAACUCGAAAUUCAGAAUUUUUUAGAUGAUGUUUUGUAGAAAACCAACAAAAAUUAAAAGUAACAUUUUAAGCUAGUAAACGUAAAAACGCACAUGUUCAUUAAUUGAACAAUUUUAUUCGUGAGAUAUGAAACUCAAAGUUUAAACUCUUAGACCAAAUCGCCUCUCCCUCUGCUGAUACCAAGUCAAGGCCUCGAGAUACUCAGCCUUGCCGAACUCAGGCCACAGUACAGUAGGAAAGUAGAGCUCAGUGUAAGCUGAUUGCCAUAGGAAAAAGUUACUGAUCCUUUGUUCUCCACCCGUUCUGAUCAACAGAUCAGGGAUAGGGAACUCACUACACUUUGUCAUCAGUUCGUUUUCCAUCAACUUUUCGUUGAUGUCCUCCAAUUGGAUCAAGCCGUUUUUCGCCUUUUCAGCAAGACUUUUACACGCUUGUAAGAUAUCUAACCUUCCGCUAUAGUCUAGCGCCAUGAUGAGUUGCUUCCCUUUGUAGCUCUUUGUAGCUUCUUCUACCUCUAGUAUCGCAUCUCGAAGCGACGCGGGGAUGUUUUCCCGCUUUCCGAUAACCGUAACCUUGAUUUUUUGUCUAAAUUAAGAAGAAAGGAAAUAUUAACAUUGUAUAACGCUUCAUAAAAGGAUCAAAAAUAAACGUUUACAUCCAUUGUACAAAAGUGAUCUUUCGAUAUGGAUAAAUUCAAAAAUAAAAAUAAAAAAACGAUCAACGAUAACAUGUUGGGAUACCUGUGGGCUUGAGGUAUCAUCAUCUUGGCAAAAAAUGACCAUCCAGUAGUCAACUUCAUCCUGAUGAAAGAAAAAAAAAAUCACUGAAUCGAAACGGAUAUAAAAUGUAUCUUGAAAUUUUCUAGAAAUGAUCAGUCUUUCAUAUUUUUUGGAAUCACACCUGGGGUCUUCUCCAAUUUUCAGUAGAGAAAGCAAAGAGUGAAACAGUGUUUAUCCCCGCAAUGAAAAAUUCCUCAGUCAUAUCCAAGGCUCUUCUGCAUCCAGCUUCUUGACCUUCCGCUAUCGUGAGUCCGUUUUGCUUCGCCCAACGUCUAUUUCCAUCCAAUAUGAUUGCCACAUGUUUUGGCAUUGUCCCUUGGUUCUCUUUCUCUCCAAGUGUACCACUACAAAUCAGUAAGAACAAAUAAGCUUGAAACUUUCAUGUAUCAUCUAGUAGAAAGUUAGAAUUAAUCACUUGAGCAAUGCCUUUUUCUCUUGGCAUACAAUUAACCAAACAAAAUAUUAUAUAUAUACAUGAGUGUGUAUACCUAUGCCGUUGUGGGGUCAUGAUUGCACGUUAAAUUAGACCCAUCACAAUUCGUAGAUUUUUCUUAAGGAUGGUCUAAUAUAGUUAUCACGUGUCGGUCAAUGAGACCUAGAUAUCCAUAUAGAUUAUACAGUUGUGUAAAAUGUGUCCAUAUUGAUUAUAGAGUUAGCAGGCAAUAUGAAAACGCAAAUAUGUUGAAAAAUCUAAAUACGUCGAAUAAAUAAAAUGACCAUAUAUAGGCUAAUAGUGUUGUUAAAUUGGUGGCAUUACUGUUUUUUUUCUUUUGAAGAACAGAUCAAACUACUGUUAGUUUGUAGGUUCUUAAAUUAGGUAAUUGAUGUUUGCCUGAGAGAAACAAUUCACUUACCAAAAGGAUUAAGAAAUUUCACGUAAAAACUAUAAGUAACAGAGAAGCACACUACCUUAUCUCGUUCCUCUCAUCUUUUUCAUGGUACUGAUCAGAUAUUGCGCUUUUGAUAAAUCUGUGGGUAUUUUUGAAGUAAAGAGGAACACAUGGACUUUUCAUGGAAAGAGGAACACUUAAACGCCUAGACUGAAGAGACAAAGGAUGAGAAUAAGAGCAAGAAAAGUAAAGACUAUAGAGUGUAGACACCAUUAUCGUUUGUUUUCGAUAUGCAUUGGAGUUGAUUAAUUUCACCCAUCUAUAUAAAUAUACUUGAAGGGGUCCGGGUUCAAAGACGCACAUGAUCAAUGGAACCUUCCCUCUCUCACCCUCUCUGUCUUUCCUUGAUGCUACGCAACGACAGGUCAUAAUAAGUAUCAAGAUUAAUGAGAUCUUACGUCGCUAGAAAGUCGCUAGAUGGUUUUGUCACGUGAUUUCUUAAUCUUAAUGAGUUCAAGAAAAUCACAAGGUCCUGUGCUUUUGUGAAUAGCUAAGGAACGACGAAUCAUAACAUGAGGCUACUCAAUGACGAGCAGAUAAGGCAAUCAGCUCUCGCGCUGCCAUGGAAGUGUGGUUCCAGACCCACCUAGGCCAGAUUUUUCUUCUCUUCUCAAAAUCAUGUUGGGCCUCUUAUUGGGUAUAAUAUAGGCCCACCAGAAUGAAAAAUAUUUGUGCUCCAAUUUUAAAAUUAUAUUUUAAAUCUGGAUAUGUGGUAGAAUUUAAUUAUGUUCGAUUUAGUUGGGAAUUUUUAUUUUUGUUUUUGUAUUUGUUGUCCCCGCCCUACAAAAAGAAUUAUCAUUAUUUUUUGGUAAAAUGUUAAGCUAGAAUGUUAAGCUACAAAAAGAAUUUCAUUAUUUGGCAGAAGAAUACUGUACAUCAUUAAUUGAAUAAGCAUCCUUAACGUAAAGUACUAUUUAUGUACAGUAGUUUUUAGAAACCUAAAUACAAAACAUUUACAUAAUGAACUACUGGAACCUUCAAUUCUUGUUCAACUUUUACUUCUUCUUUUUUUUAGUUUUAUCCAAAAAAAGUGAAGAUGUCUUGAAGUUGUGAAUUCUCUUCAUAAAAAUUUAAAGUGAAAUUUAUUUUGAAGGAUCCCUUUGAUAAUGAAAAGUUAAAUUUUAUCAAAUUAAAUAAUUUUAUUAACUAAUUGUUCUUAAAUUGACGAUGAAAAGCGCAAAAGCACAACCUUAGGUGAUGGAGAUGGUAGAUAAAUACAACUAAAUUAGUAAACACGGCUUUACAUGAACCUAUGUACAUACCAUUCACAAAUCAAACGCGCUUUUAACACUGUUACACUGGUCAUAAUAUUAAAAGUUUUAAUUUAAAACACUCUCACUUCCUUGUUCAUCCCAAUUCGAUGGGGCAUGCUGGUCCAUUUGUGUGUAGUCCCGUCGCUAUCGAAUACAAUAACAGUGUCUGCUGUUUGCAUGUUCAAACCAAAGACCACCGGCAUUGCACGUGUGCUCAAAACUACCAUGCAUGAAGAGAUUCUGAGACUUGUGAUCAUUUUCAAUAAAAGAAUAGUUUCGGAUUCAACCAUAAACAUGUAGAUACAUUGACAAAGAAGCCAUUCAAUAUCAUAAUUUACAUUCCGUGUGGUCCGGUUAUAAUAGAACCUCAAACAUUUUAACAAGUGUAAUGUUAUUAUUUCUCAAAAAGAAAGUGUAAUGUUAUAAUUAUCUGAGUUUCAUUUUAUAGUGUUUUUAAGAAUUAUAGUUGUUAAAAUGUUAAUACGGUGAUUAACUUGAUGACAAAAGUCCAACGCGGUGGAACUACCAGGGUUCGAGUCUCGGCCACUAAAAUCUUAACAUUUAGGCAUCAUGGUAAUACGUAACUAGUCUGGACCACUUUUUUGUGGUUAGAAUACCCUUGUAUAAUUUUAAAAAAAUGUUUUUCUUGGCCCCGGUUAUGCAUCCAGUUCAUAUGAAUGUAACUUCUUGUCCAUUUUUAUUUAAAUGGCCAAAAUAAAACUAGUAAAUGUAAAUUAUCAUAUGUUUAUUUACAUUCUUGUCUUCGUCAUUUUCAAAUUUUCGCAAACCAAAACAUUUUAACUAUUGUAAGAAAAUUAUAAAAUGAAAUAUAGAUAAUAACAACAUUUUCUGACAUUCAAAUAAAUACAAAAGCAUAAUUUUUUCUUCAAAAUUAGAAAAGAAAAAAAGUUAACGUAUCUUACACGUGACGCUUUCAUGGUUUUGAGUUCAGUAUUACUAACCCAUCAUUUAAUCAAAUUUGUUAUCCUUAAAUAUAAACUAAUAAAUUUAAAGAUUAAAAUUAUAGAUCUCUUAUGAUGUUUUAUAUAUAAUCUCAUUCUAAUAAAAUGACGGGAGGAUUACGAAAAUUGUCUAACUUAAAUGUUUUUAAAAGGAUAUGUUUUUUCUUCUUCUGUUUGGUCGAAAAAGAAUAUGUUUUGUUGAUAUAAAAUUACAGAUAGGUAUGCUUUUCCUAAAAUUAUAAAUCUAAAUUCUAAACACGCACACAACACAUACAUUACAGAUAGAUAUGUUUCGUACGCACAAGCUCGCAAAAAUUAAAGGCAGAAGAAUCCUGCUUCGUUCGGCAGUCACUGUUACUCAAUUUGACAGACUCAAAACUAACUUCACAAAACACGCACACAACACGAACAUUACACAUAGAUAGAUAGAUCCGAGAGAGACGCUUUGGAAGAGAAAUAGUGUAACAAUUAGAAACUCUUACGCAAUAGAAAGGAAACAUGUUUGUGAGUUAUUAUGGGGUUGGACUCUAACCACCGUUACUCUAUUUCUCUCUUAUUACGGACCCUCAAACAUUGACAUUUCUCUAUCCAUGUAACCUCUCAAGAGACAAUAGCCCUUUCACCAUCCCUACUCUCUAUCUUGUGAACCAUAAACGUCCCACGUACAUCAAAUGCUCUAAGUAUUAUCAGAAUUAUGCAGCACCAUUGCAUGGUUCUAUAUUAGCCGUCCAUGUGUUGACAAGUCAAGAAGUCACUUAAGCUAGUAGAGCCUUGAGCUGCUUAGAUCCAACACAGCUCUAGGAAAAGUCAAGCGAUCUGAUUCUGGAUACAAGCAUUUCUGCACAUCAUACUGAAACUAUAUUAUAGAAUAUCCAAUGCAUGAAUCAUUGACCAGGAUCACCCUUUCUCCAAGAAGAUUUAGACCCAUUCCUGAACCCUAUCCAAUUCAUAUCUCCUCUAUAUUUCUGCACUUAUUGUCUUGUGGGGUCUCCCAUGAACUUCAAGAACUCUGACACCAUUUUUGUAAUACUUUUAAAAUUUGAAGAUGAACCAUUUAUGAUCAAAAAUAACAGAACCGCAUGAUUGAAUAAAGUACUGUACCAUUUAAAAGUCGACUGUCAUGUUCAAACAUUUAAUGAGGAGCUUUGAUAUACUUCUACUUCGGCAUGUAUAUAUGUAUAUAUAAACCCGUUCUCCACCUUGUACUCUCAUCCCAAUACACAUUUUCUCAUCACAACAUUACAUUCAUCAAAUCUAUAUCUUGUUGAUCAAUCAUCUCCUCCUACUAAAAUGAAGACUAAGUUCAUCAAGUCCUGCGAAAAGAAACUAAAGAAGAUGACAGUCACAACACCUUGUAAGUUUUGCGAAAGAAUUUGCUUGGCGUUCAAGAGGGAAGCUGAGGUGAUACCAAAAGAUGUCCCUAAGGGACACUUGGUUGUCUACGUAGGUGAGGAGUCCAUGAGGUUUGUGAUUAAGAUCAGCUUACUUGCACACCCACUCUUCAAGGCACUGCUGGAUCAAGCACAGGAUGCUUAUGGUUUCAGUGCAGACGCCAGACUAUGGAUUCCAUGCGAUGUGAGCACCUUCCUCGACGUUGUCCGUUGUGCUGGUUCUCCACAGUAUCAGAACAGUUGUAUGUGUAUCUAGGAAGGUUCUUCAAGGAACUCAAGGCAUUCUUUUAUUUAUCCAGAGGGGGCCAUGUUUCCAAAGAGUGGUGGUUAAUGCUAAGCUAUUGCAGUACACUAAUAAUGUAAAACUUUUUGAAUUGAUAUGUUAUCAGCUAGGCAAGCUGUAAACACGAUUAAAAUUAUGUAUCAUUACUUCUCCAGCUCCAUAAAUAUACAUGAAGCCAUUAACGCAAGAAUAGAAGGCAUUAAUCCAUGAAAAUUACUAGAGAAACAUACAAACCAAGUAACUGAAACCAUACAGCUCUUUAACAAAUGUAUGUUAUCUGUGGUGAGGGCAGAAAAAGAGAGAACAUAAUAGUUUGCUUUUCACGCAUCUCAAGACCAAAAGGCAAAACGACCUACAAAACCUGUGUAGUUCUUGAAAGAAUCAGUCGAAAAUAAGAUAUUAUGACCAAGAGUUUAGUCUACGAAUUCGUAAGGGUUGGCCAUGAAAUCCAAAUCAUAGCAACCAAUGUUCCACAUUGCAUCAAUCCAAAGAAUGCAUUAACAUGUUAGUAUUGACAAAAAGAAGAUCAAAAUGGCUACUAGAUGAUAGGUACACUUAAAGCCAAGGGUUAGGAUCUAUUAACCAUUCCCAAAAUGACCACCUUCAUGGUUUUGACAGAAGCAAGAUAUACACAACGGACAUUCUUGUUCAAAUGAGUAGUUGUAUCGUACUUCCUUCACACGUAAUCCUAUGUGCUUACAUACAUCAAAUGGAUGGCAUUCAUAUCAAUCAACUGUACUGUGACUCUAAAACCAAAGGAACCUAGUCAUUGUCAUCUCAACCCAUUGAUCAAAUUCUACAUUUCUCUUCUCCCAAACCUUCUACCUUCUACCUUUUACCUGCGCAUCUUUACACCUAGCUGCUAAGUAAAACACUAACCAAGCCGCCAUGAAGUAAACUUCCAAAGCAGACUGGAUCACAGUAGCAAACCUUCUCCCCCCACAACUCGAAUCAGAACCCAUCUGAACAAAGAAUCGCCUCUAGACACUUAUUAAGCUGCACAGCCUGAUGCAACAGAAGAGACACCACAUACCAAACCUUCCUUCACAAUCUCCCUCGAAUACUCCACGGUGGCAUAACAGCGAAAGGCAUCAGCUUUAACCUCACAAAGGGCCUGAAACUCUCAAAGUCCUUGUCUUCGGACAGAUUAAUUCUACUUUUGUCUGAAUGUAUCGAUGUUCUAAUCAACUCUGAUGGGCCAUAUGGGCUUUUAAUUGGGCCUUAGCAACUGACAAGUUUGAUGUCGAAUCACUCCUAAUAUUUCAUCUCCAUGCAUAUUUUUUUUGUUGGUAAAGCUUGGAGGACUAAUCAUCAAAAUGUAAUUGAUUUUUUUUUUUUUUUUUUUGCUAAAAAUGUAAAUGUCAUUACUAGAAUGAUGGUUUGGUUACAAAUUUUGAACCAGAAUCUGCUAAUUAAAGCCAUUCAGUUCUUAGGAGCUGCAAAAAAAGUAAAAACCCCUAAGAAACUAUGAUUUAGGUCCAUAGCAAACCACUAAUGGUGAGCAAUGAAGCUAAUUUAAAACUAAAACAAGAGACAGCAGAAUUGAUCCCUUACAAAAUGCUUCCUGAUCACCUAAUACGACCAAGAGAAUAGCUACCAGCUGUUCGGACGAACACACACCCGAAGGUGGCUCCAAACGGCUUCAACGGAGGCGCCUGGAAACGGCCCCGGAACACCAGAGGAGGAGGACGCCGAACAAACAGACCCGAAGCUAACGCAGCGAAAAGACAAAGUGUAAUCUCGACAUUCCAACCAGUGAAGAGUAAGAGCAGAAAUCAGGUCAACGCAGGCGGUAAUAUCACCCUCUCAACCGGCCACGGACCUAGAAGAUGUGGUGGAAACAUCGAGAGGAAACACAAAGCUUUCGCCGGGGGCAAAAGAAGGGACGUGAGAACGCAGAAGGAGACUGACGAAAGACUCCUCAACAACAGGCAGCAUCAAUUGUGAGCAGAGCUUCACCUUCAAACAAAGACACCUUCACAGGGUUGUCCUCAAAACCCUCAUUAUCAGCAUCAACAAACGAGAAGGGAGAGCACAAGAGCUCACAGAAGAACGCCAUGGCAGCUGAAUCUCGAACUAAGAACAUAGGUCCUCUGUGGCGAGCCUACACACCACUUUUCACUCAGAGACUAAGAGGAGAAGCUCUACACAUACCUUGGGCCAGCGGUGGAAUAAAUCGAUUGGAGCAAACCUAGAGCCAGGAGCAGCGACGGUGCGUCACAUGAAACUGGUGGUUCACGGACCUCAGAUCUGACCCAGAUCUGAGCACAAUUGACUCAUCCAAGGCUGAUUCAAAGCCCCUGAGGUACCCUCGAUCGACCUCGCCUCGCCGGAACUCCGGAGAAACCAUGAACGCCCAUGGUUCCCGAUAGAUCUAAAGAGAAAUCCAGAGCCACCAAGCAAAGAGGAGAGACAUGAUGAGGAGAGUAACAGGGAGAAGGCUUGGACAUGGGAGCACUGGCAGGGGUGGCGACCGGAGCAGAAGCAUCCGGCCACCGAGACGGUUGAGCAGAAGACGCGGCGGCUAGGUUAAGGUUUUGGGGGAGAGACCCUAGAGAGAAAUCGUCGACGUCUUUCGAUUUUCGUUUUCUUGACUUCUUGAAAUUGUCAAAAAAAAAAAAAUGUAAUUGAUUGCCUUCCAAAUAAUAAGACAUAAACUUGUACCAGAAAUUAAAAGUGAAGUGGAGACAGGCUCUAUUCAACUAACUAGAAAGUCAACUCUGAUGGAUCAGCACUAUCUUUAAUUUGGUUGUAAAGAGUUGCGAUAGACUGCUAUACCGUUAGACCUAACAUUCAAACACAAAAGUUUCAGCUAUGUUUUACCUUAUUCUGAUGCAAUGUCAAAUGAUCAGACCUAAUAUGGUAUGGAUUUCUUUUAAUUUUAUGAGUUUGCUUCCGUUUCGUAUCAGUUAGUUUGUAGUAGUCAGAUGGAAUAGCUCACUUACUGGACUGAUUCUUCCAUGUUAGCCACAGUCUUCUGAGAGUGGAGUCUUAUUAGUGGAAUAUUUUCCAGUCUUAUAAAAAUGAAAUGCAAAUUCUGUGUGUAACCUUUAAAACGGAAUAUUGAUCAUUACACUUUAACAAAUUAAAGUUUUUUUAGUUUCGGUUGAUACUUAUUUUCAAUUAUAAAAAUAGUUCUAGUAUCGAUGUUUCAUUGGGAAGUUUAUAACAAAUAAUGUGUGACUUUAUAAGAGUUUUAUUAUCUUUAAAUGAUUCCAUUAGAUUGAGACUGGUUAAGAUGAUUCCAUUAGAAGUGAAGUUGAUAAACAGUAUCUAAUUAAUGAUCUGUAUCUUCUUAAUAGUUGUCCACUUUGUUAUGGAGACUUCCAUAUACCCAAAUUUGACAAAAUGUAUCAUUUCACACUUGUAACAAGAAAAAAAUGUUCAUUUGAGAACUUACAAUGAGUUUUACAGACAAUUUAUAAACUAGACAAAGACAGAAACCACUUCACAGGCAAUCAUUUGGUAAAAUUAUUCAGACAUUUAAAAAAAAAACUUAAUAGUAAAAAAAAAACAGAACCUUUAAUCACUCUUAACAUAUAGGAAUGGGAGCUCCGUUCCACUCAUCGAGACACUCCAUCAACGGAUCAAUAAUCUUCCCUUCACAGAUCGCCGUGAAAACCUUAUCAAACUCUUCUCCGGGCGACGUCGCUUUCUCUCCGGUCAAAAGCUCUGUUCCAAGCUCCUCCCUCACAAACCUAUACAAAGGAUACGACCUACACUCCUUGAUCCUGUUCGGUAU
rnacentral:lncRNA from 1 species